rnacentral:rRNA from 1 species
UAAAACGUAGGAGACAAACGUUAUCCGGAGUUACUGGGCGUAAAGGGCGUGCAGGCGGUCUGUUAAGUUCGGCGUGAAAGCGCCUGGCUAAACCGGGCGAGGUCGUCGGAGACUGGCAGACUAGAGGGUGAUAGAGGCGGGUGGAAUUCCGGGUGUAGUGGUGAAAUGCGUAGAGAUCCGGAGGAACACCAGUGGCGAAGGCGACCCGCUGGGUCACACCUGACGCUGAGACGCGACAGCAUGGGGAGCGAACGGGAUUAGAAACCCCGGUAGUCCAUGCCGUAAACGAUGCCAACUCGAUGUCUGGGAGGGGAAACCCUCUUGGGUAUCCCAGCAAACGCGGUAAGUUGGCCGCCUGGGGAGUACGGUCGCAAGGCUA